rnacentral:rRNA from 1 species
GAUGAACGCUGGCGGCGUGCUUAACACAUGCAAGUCGAGCGAGAAGUUUUGAAAAGAUUCUUCGGAUGAAAUUUAAAAUGGAAAGCGGCGGACGGGUGAGUAACGCGUAGGCAACCUGCCCCAUACAAAGGGAUAGCAUUUGGAAACGAAUAUUAAUACCUUAUGAAACUUAACUAGUGCAUGCUAGGUAGGUCAAAGAUUUAUCGGUAUGGGAUGGGCCUGCGUCUGAUUAGCUAGUUGGUGAGGUAACGGCUCACCAAGGCGACGAUCAGUAGCCGACCUGGGAGGGUGAACGGCCACAUUGGAACUGAGACACGGUCCAAACUCCUGCGGGAGGCGGCAGUGGGGAAUAUUGCACAAUGGGGGCAACCCUGAUGCAGCAACGCCGCGUGAACGAUGAAGGCCUUUGGGUCGUAAAGUUCUGUUCUAGGUGAUGAAAACUGACAGUAACCUAGGAGAAAGCCCCGGCUAACUCCGUG